UACGUAGGGGGCAAGCGUUGUCCGGAUUUAUUGGGCGUAAAGAGCGUGUAGGCGGCCAGGUAGGUCAGCUGUGAAAACUCGAGGCUCAACCUCGAGACGUCGGUUGAAACCACCUGGCUAGAGUCCGGAAGAGGAGAGUGGAAUUCCUGGUGUAGCGGUGAAAUGCGCAGAUAUCAGGAAGAACACCCGUGGCGAAGGCGGCUCUCUGGGACGGUACUGACGCUGAGAAGCGAAAGCAUGGGGAGCGAACAGG
rnacentral:rRNA from 1 species